CUACUCAGAAGCACAUAUACAAAAAUUGGAACUAUACAGAGAAAAUUAACAUGGCCCCUGGACAAAACCCACUCAAAAAAACUAAUAGCCUUUCU
ensembl:snRNA Rnu6-897 RNA, U6 small nuclear 897